rnacentral:rRNA from 1 species
CGCGUAGGUGGUUAAUUAAGUCAGAUGUGAAAGCCCAGGGCUCAACCUUGGAACUGCAUUUGAAACUGGUUGACUAGAGUUUUGUAGAGGGUGGUAGAAUUUCAGGUGUAGCGGUGAAAUGCGUAGAGAUCUGAAGGAAUACCAGUGGCGAAGGCGGCCACCUGGACAGAGACUGACACUGAGGCGCGAAGGCGUGGGGAGCAAACG